UAUCUCUCUCUUUAACACCAAAUGACCCAAAACCUAAAAUUUUAUCUCAUUCUCUUCCCCUCUCUCUAGAGCAGCCGCCACCUCCACUCUCUCCUCUCCAUUCGCUCCGGCGAGAGCAGCCACCGACGACGCCCCUCUCCUCUUCUACUCCCCUCUCCCGUUGCUCCUCCUCCCUCCUUCUCCUCUCUCACCCCUCUCUCCAGUCUCGUCUCCUCAUCCCUAGCGAGAACAGCAACAGCUCCGGCAAGCUUCACUAGGCAGCAUCGCUUGUUUCUCCUCUCACUUCUCCCCUCUGUGCCUCCCUCUUCUCCUUUCUCUCCUCCCCUCGCCUCUUUUAAUCCAUCCUCCCUUCUCUCUUUCUCUGCCGAUACAGCAGCGCCAGAUGAGUUGCAAGGACCAGCACUCCAGUGCUCGAAGAAAUAGCAGCACCAGAGGAUAAUAAGCACCGAACAACAAAUGAUGGACUGAGGCGAGUCCUUUUCUUCUACGCUUCAUUUUUCCGGCAGAGCUAUGAGGUUUUUCUAAUUUUUUGGAUGACGGAUCUUAACUGAUCCGUCCAGGUUUUGAACUUAUAGUUCAAGAUGUUGAAGAUUUGCCUAGAAGAAAUUGUGGACGAAGCCCCGUUCAUUUUAUUGUUAUAUAUAUUUUUAUUUGUCCUUUAUUUUUACUUGUAAUGCUUGUAUAACUCGUUAACUCUAUAUAUGUGAAAUAAAUUUGGGGGAUCGUUUAAGGGGGGUGGUAUUAUAUGUUACUUGUCACUUUGUUGCAAAAUCUUAUUUAAUUAAUCAAGCUAGAUUAAAAAUCAAAUAUAAUGAUAAAAAGUUUUAAUUGCUUGAAUUCUUCUUUAGUCUGGUCUAUUUUAGUACUUGAAACUAAUUUGGUAUUAAUAUUAAUUAAUUGUCGUUCUUCAUAUCCUUUAGGUGGUAAUACUAAUAAAUAAAAUCAACAUCUUGUCAUUAAUUUGUUUUAAAUGUUAUGCCUACAUCUAGAAUCCAUGCCUAUUGGAUUGAACUAAAUAUUUGCAUAAAAUGCCCGUAAGUGUUCAUCAAUAUGGUUUGUCAUUAGAAGUAAUGACAUAAGAUUUAACUAAUAAAAUCAAGUUCAUUUACUUAGUUGAAAUAAAUUUUCAGUGUGUUAAGUAAUUGAAAUCAAUGUACUACACUUUUUUUUAAUGUUAAAUAAUUUCUGCAUUUAUAAUUUUCCUCUAUCCGUAUUGAAAUUUAUUCAUAAACUAUUCUCAAUAUGCUAAAUCUACUUAAAUGAUCUGCUUGCAUUCAAUACUGCUCAAAGGUUAUUUUCUGCUUUUGAACAUUCCCUUGUCACAUAAAUCAGUUGGUAAUUUUCUGCAUGUUCACUUAAAUUUUGCAACUUUAAAUGCUUGUUGCCCCAAUCAACUAUAUGAGUUUGUGCAUUGUUUGGCUACUUAAAAAAAUAAAAUGGAUGAAUUUUCAGCAUAUUACAAUAUUAAUUGUCAAAUUAAAUUUGUCCUUCACUAAUCUCCAUAAUAAAAAUGUUUAUGCAUGUGAUCAAUUUGCUACUGUCCGUAAAAAAUAUUUUUACAUUAGUAAUAAAUUUAUUGUCGUUCUUAAAAUAAUUUUUCGCCUUAAACAAAAUAAAUUCCAUUUGCCUUGAAUAAAAUUUUUCUGCCUUAAUAAUUAAACCGACUACUAUUCUAAAAUAUAUAUGCAUGUGGGAUCACUUCUUUGCUACUUAGAAUCAAGAGAAAAACCUUUUUAUUAAUUCUGCUCACCUUAAAUCAAUUGAAUAUUUAAAUCUGUAUACAUGUUAUAUGCGUAUGCUCUCAUAAUUUUUUGUUUAUUAUAACUUUGUAUGCUCACACACUUAGCAUGAAGGCCUUUUCACAAUUAUGUGUUGUUUGGAAGCAUGUCUAAUUAAAAUUUAGAGGCCAAAUUGAAACCUACCAUGCUAAAAUGACCGUCUUGUUUGUCUUGUUUGUUUGACUUGGUGACAAGGAGAGCCUUAUAUUCUAUUUUGUCUAAACCCACCCUUUAAGAGUCCAAUGCCUCUUGGACAAUCAAGUUGGGUCGAUUAGGCACCUUUUAGGUAUGAAAUGCAUGUGGUGGUAGGGUAGGGAUAGUUGGCCCUAGGGAGAUGAUGACAUCGACUAAGGCUUGAAAGACAAAUCUUGAUUUUGUUUGUCCCUAUACGGGAGCCUAUCGAAAAAAUAAAAAGAAAUUCGAGUGCUCAUCCAAAAAGUCUCUUAGAGUCUCCCUUCCCUUUAUCCCUUUAUUUGUUUGUUUAAUUAUAUUUGUUUUUUGGGGUUGAAAUAAAUUUUUUUUCUUAUUUAUAUGUCUCCUUUCUAUCCUCUCGCUUAUCCUUUUUUAAAAUGUCACUUAGUCUCGCAUGUCUAAUUCUUAAUUAAAAUAAGAAUGUUAUCCAAAUUCUUUAUUAUUAUAUUAUCACAUAGUCUUGCAUGUUAUCUAAUUAAUAAAGUAGCUUUAAUUAUUCAAUAAUUCUUCUCACUUAGGCUUCACAUGUUUAAUUAAUAAUAAAGUAAUCUUUAUUGUCUAAUAUUAUGUUGUCACUUAGCGAGCAUGCUAAUUAUUUAACUAAUAAAUGAACUGACCUUAUUUGUUACUUGUAACCCCUACAUAGAUUUCAUGAGAUACGACCAGAACCCACAUUUGUGGACCUUAAGGGAUGCCUAACACCUCCCCCUCGAGGUAAUUUGAACCCUUACCCUGAUCUCUGACUCGUUGACCUUAGUUAGACAUAGUUAGGUUGGAUAGGUGCUCUAACGUGCCUUAAUUCGUUAGGUGAUGACUCCAAAGUUAAAAUCCCAAAAGAGUUGUUAGGUCGUGCACAAAAAUCAUUUUUACCAAAAAAUGGGGCGCGACAAAAUGACGACUUCUUUGGGGAUAUUGGGUUCUUAAUAUUAUGUGUUUCAUGCUUAUUUAUGUGGGGUUUACUUUAUUUUGGUUAUUUCAUUAUUUGUUAGGUGCUUACAAUGUUCAGUUAUUAUUUUGUUGCCUUAUUUACUAUCUUCUUUCCAUGUUCGAUCCCUUUCCAUCUUCCUUAUUUGUUUAUUACAAUUUUUCACCUUUUUCCAUUUUCCUUAUUUGUUUAUUUACAUGUCUAAUCCCAUACCCUCUUUCCUUAUUUGCGUAAUUUUUAAAUAUAUUUAUAUAUUUUCUUUUCUUUAUUUGUUUAUGCUUAUUUAUUUAUUAUUUUAUAAACUGCCUAUAUGUUACCACUUUCCAAUUUAAAUACUAAGUGUUUAUUGCUUUGAUAACUAGAAUUUUGCUCAUACUUCCCGCAAUUGGCACCCUUUUUUUAAUUUUGUUCUCGUGAUGUUGUUAUUUUGCACCUCUCACAACUACUUUAUUUCUAUUCAAAUACCCAUUAUAGAGAGUCGGCAGAUGCAUGGACCUAACAGAUAGUUUUACUACCGCAAAACCACAAGCCUCUCACAUAGAAUACCUUUCGAGUCCGUGUCAAGCCAACUCUUAUAAGUCCUUGUUAGGUCAUACAUGCUGCAUAAGCCCUAGGUGGUUUGACCCUUGGUGUCAAUCCACAUAAUUAGUAGUCAACCUCUCGUCUAAAGGGCCCCAACACCCUUAGACAAAUUGCAUAUUUAUGUGUCAACGUGAUCAUAAUAAUUAAAUCAAGCCAACUGUGCCAAAGCGGAGUUUAGAAGUUGUUUAUUGUUUUAUUUGCAGAGUCAUGGAUGAGUAUGAAAUCCCAAACCCUCAAAUGGUGACAGAGGUGUGUCAGAGACUUAUUCCUGGUGGAUGGAUAUAAGGAGAGAUAGAGAAAGGGAGAUUCAUCAAUUGCUAGGUGGCCUCACAUUUCUUAUCUUUCUCACACCAAAACCUCACAUGACUAGGGCACUACUAGAGUUUUGGGAACCUUUGAAGAUGGUGUUCAAGUUUACAGAUUGCAACUUGACACCAACAAUUGAAGAAAUUAGCGGUUUCAUCGACCUUCCAUACCAUGAGUGUCAAAUGAUGAUACCUUAUAAAUCGUUAUCAAGGGAAUUUAUAAGAAUCAUGGGGAUGAAGUCUAAUCCAACCUUGACUUCUUUAGACCUUAGUGAUUCAUAGGUGAAGGUGCUUUCGGAGAGAUAAGCUUGGAUUCGAAGAUCAUCAAGCAAUUUGAAGUAUGUCCUCAUUGACUCAAGGGCAUAAAUGUCUUUUAUUUCCUUUAUCGAAAUAUUGUAAUAAACUAAGUAUUUCUAUAUUCAUACUUUAUAUGGGCCGUGUCCUACAGUUCUCUUGUGUCUAAGAUUUGAUGAAAUGAGACUUAAUAUUUCCUAUAAGUUUUAUACGGAAGAGUUUUUGA